rnacentral:misc_RNA from 1 species
GAUGAAGAACGUAGCGAAAUGCGAUACUUGGUGUGAAUUGCAGAAUCCCGUGAACCAUCGAGUCUUUGAACGCAAGUUGCGCCCGAAGCCACUAGGCCGAGGGCACGCCUGCCUGGGCGUCACACGUCGUUGCCCCCCCCCCAUCUACUCCUUCGGGAUUGCGGGGGGCGGAUGAUGGCCUCCCGUGCGCCUAGCCGCGCGGUUGGCAUAAAUACCAAGUCCUCGGCGCCGCACGCCACGACAAUCGGUGGUUGCGAAACCUCGGUUGCCCGUCGUGUGCGUUCGUCGCGCAUCGAGGGCUCGAAAAAAUGCUCGGCUCCGGCUCGGCUUUCAACGCGACCCCAGGUCAGGCGGGGUUACCCGCUGAAUUUAAGCAUAUCAAUAAGCGGAGGA